GGCUUGAAUAGGUUUAGAUCUGAUAUCUUGCAUGUGGGGUUAAAAGAUUUAACCCGAUUUAUUUUUCGCUGCAUGUUUUCAAAAUUUUAAAAUCUACAUAUGCUGCCUAUCCUAUUUUCUAUUAGUGGUAUCAGAGCCAGAUUUUUUGAAAAUACAUAUGAUAUAGUUUUUAGGUUAGAUCUAAAAGUUUUAAUGAUUUAAAAUUAAUUUUAUGCUGAUAUAAGGU
rnacentral:lncRNA from 1 species